rnacentral:misc_RNA from 1 species
UUUGCUUGGCUCGUCAGUUCGUCGGCAGCGUUUGAAAGAGUCGGUCGAUUAGUUGGCUGCGUUCUGGCGGUAGAGCGCACAGGUGAGAGUUCGGAGCGCAGGGGCGUUUAAAGCUGCGCGCGCCCAAUACAACGAAAGAAACGGUCGGUCAGGUGUACGAGUAUCUGUGUGCGAAUCGUUGGUAACAGCCGGCCACUGAGUGUCACCAUGAUGCACAAAUUGAAAUACCGCGAUAAAUUAAAAUGGCUUCUAGCGCUUCUUGUGCUGAUCAGCAUUUGUUUUAUGCAGACAAAGGGACAGACAAGAGACCCCAGGUUUUAUUCCCGCCCGGGCGUUGACUACCAUUGGCCAAAUCCAGGGGAUCCAGAUUACAGAACUUACACGUUCAACGAUCGCCGAUAUGGUCACUAUCAGCCCAAUGGCUAUGGAGCCAAUUAUCCGGGCAGAAAUCCACCUGGCCAAUAUCCACAGGGAAUGCCGAAUGAAGAUCGCUUUCGAUUCGAUCCGAACGAUCCGAAUGCUCGGACCCAGUUUCCGGGAGUGUUGGCCGGAUGGCGAGAGGACUUGCAGGGCAAGCAGCGCCGGGAUUCGUUGACCCUGGAACGGGAUGUAUUCGUGACCACAAACUAUGGCCAGGUGCAGGGCUUCAAGGCGUACAUGUACGACAACCCAGACCCCAAGUCCUUCUAUCGUCCCUAUCAUUCGACCGUGGACCGUGUGAUGGGCGAGUGUUCGGUGUUCCUGGGUAUUCCCUACGCCCUGCCGCCCACUUUCGAGGGUAGGUUCAAGCCACCCCGCGUCCAUCGAGGCUGGCAGCUGCUCCAGGCCGUCGACUUUGGACCCGCCUGUCCCCAGCCUGUGCGGUAUACGGGAGCCACAAAGGGAGUCAUGGACAUGGAUGAGGAUUGCCUCUACUUGAACGUGUAUUCGCCGAAGACUGGGGCUGGUGUGGCCCAAAAGUACCCUGUAAUGGUGUAUAUCCAUGGUGGCGAGUUCAUCCGUGGAGCCUCCAACCUAUUCCAGGGCCAUAUUCUGGCCUCGUUCUACGACGUGGUGGUGGUGACCCUGAACUACCGCCUUGGUGCUCUGGGAUUCCUUUCCACUGGUGAUGAGAACUCGCCCGGGAACUAUGGAAUCCUCGAUCAGGCGAUGGCGCUGCGUUGGAUCCAUGACAAUAUUGAGUUCUUCAACGGUGACCGGAAUGCCAUCACUCUAUUUGGUCCGGGAGCGGGAGGCGCCUCGGCUGGUCUCCUGAUGGUGGCACCAAAGACGCGGAACAUUGUGCGGCGUGUGAUCGCACAGUCCGGAUCGGCUCUAGCGGAUUGGGCUCUGAUCCAGGACAAGUAUCGCGCUCAAAACACGAGUCGCGUGCUGGGACAGCUACUGGGCUGCUCCAUCGAAUCCUCAUGGAAGUUGGUCAACUGCCUGCGCACUGGACGCAGUUUCUACGAGCUGGGAAACGCCGAGUUCUCUCCCCAGGUGGGUAGCUUUCCAUGGGGUCCAGUUCUGGACCACAACUUUACGUUGCCCGGCGACGAUUGGUACGAGGGAUGGCGCGAAAAGGACUGGCGUUUCCUCACCCAAACUCCGGAAACCCUAAUCCGGGCAGGUAAAUUCAACCGGAAUAUUCAGUACAUGACGGGGGUGACCACACAGGAAGCGGCCUUUUUUGUGGCCCAAAACGAAUCUUUAAGUCCUUACUAUGAACUAGAUGGACGCUUCUUUGAUCAGAAAAUAAGGGAACACGUUUUCCGCUACAACUAUACCCUUAAUCCGAACGGAGUUUACGAGGCUAUCAAGUACAUGUACACCUUCUGGCCGGAUCCCAAUAAUAACACCAUAAUCCGGGACCAGUACAUCAACAUGCUGAGUGACCUGUACUACCGAGCACCAGUGGACCAGAUGGUCAAGCUGAUGUUGGAGCAGAAGGUACCGGUCUAUAUGUACGUACUGAACACCACCGUGGAGGCACUAAAUCUGCCACAGUGGCGGAAGUAUCCACACGACACCGAGCGUUAUUUCCUUACCGGCGCGCCCUUUAUGGACACCGAAUUCUUUCCCAAAAAGGAGCACCUGCAGCGCAACAUGUGGACGGAUAAUGAUCGCAAUAUGAGCCACUUUUUCAUGCAGACCUACUCGAAUUUUGCCAGAUAUGGCAAUCCGACGCCACAACAGGUGCUAGGCAUGCAUUUCCAGAGAGCCUAUCAGGGAGAGAUUCGGUACUUGAACAUCAACACCACUUACAACUCCUCCAUCCUGCUCAAUUAUCGGCAGACGGAGUGCGCCUUCUGGACGCAGUACUUGCCCACAGUUAUCGGCGUGCUGGUGCCCACCUAUCCACCCACAACGGAGUACUGGUGGGAGCCCAAGGAGCCGCUGCAGAUCGCCUUCUGGAGCAUGUCCGUGACCUGUUUCUUCCUUAUUGUCUUGGUGGUCAUCUGCUGCAUCAUGUGGCGCAAUGCCAAGCGCCAAUCGGAUCGCUUCUACGACGAAGAUGUCUUUAUCAAUGGUGAGGGCUUAGAACCGGAAGCGGAUACGCGUGGAGUCGACAAUGCCCAUAUGGUGACCAACCACCAUGCCCUGCGCUCUAGGGAUAAUAUCUACGAGUACCGGGACUCUCCAUCCUCCAAAACCCUGGCCAGCAAGGCGCACACGGACACCACCUCGUUGCGCUCACCCAGCUCGCUGGCCAUGACCCAAAAGUCCAGCAGCCAGGCGUCCCUUAAAUCCGGGAUCUCGCUCAAAGAAACCAAUGGUCAUUUGGUGAAGCAAGCUGAAAGGGCAGCCACGCCACGAUCCCAGCAAAAUGGUUCGACGGCAAAGGUGGCGGCUCCAGUGGAAGAGAAGCGUCUGCUGCAGCCACUUUCCAGCACGCCCGUGACGCAGUUGCAGGCGGAGCCGGCUAAAAGGGUUCCCACCGCCGCCAGUGUCUCGGGCAGCAGUCGGAGCACCACUCCCGUGCCCUCUGCCCGAAGCACCGUACACACCACAACAGCCACCUUGAGUUCCCAGCCAGCGGCUCAGCCGAGGAGAACCCAGCUGGUGGAAGGAGUGCCUCAGACUUCCGUAUAAGUAACCGCUCUCUAAGCGCAGGAUGCGCUUAGGGAGUCCGCCGAAUCGUCCAAUUACAGAGCCAAUCAACAAUCCAGAAGGAAGAACACCAGUUCCUCCCGGGAUUUUAAUUAAAGUAAGUUAGUUAUUUCCGAAAAAUGUACGUUUUAUUUUGUAUUUAUACUAGGUUUUUAAACAGAUCUUUGAGAUCUCAGUUUUGAGUUAUAUUUAGGAAAACCUGUAUUUCUUAUGCCUUACUUUAAAUUUACUUGUUCGUAAGUUUGAUAACCCAACGAAUACAAAUCCAUAUCAAUGACAUUCCAUAGCCUUAUAAUCGGCCUUCACGUGUAUAUACAUAUAUAAUUUUAAUGUACAAUACGAAAUAUUUUAAUAUAGGAAAUAUAAUGAAAACUAAAAAUCUUUUUUGUAACAAAUAUUGAGCUUAACUUUUACUAAACUCCCUUUUAGUGGUAGUAAUAUCGAAUGAAAUUUACAUAAGAGCAUACAUAUUAUUUGAAUUAUUAUAGAAAGAAAUAAAUUAACGUUAUUAAAAAUAAUGCAUUACAUUAUUUAAAACCUGCUAUUUUAUAAUACAAAAUUCAUAACAUUGUCGCGUUCCAUAUCAUAAGAAUAUCAUGUUAACCAUUAGAUCCUAGCCACUCCCACACAUCAUCAAGAGCAAUACCUACAGUGCCUUAAAAUCUGGUAAUUGUCUCCGAUGGACGCAUCACUAGUUCUUAACGAACAGUGUCCCUUAUCCAUGUACCCACUAAGUGUGCCUUUCAUACAUACAUAAAUGUACUCCUAGUAAUAUACUUUCUAUAUGUUUUGUGUGUCGCAUAUAAGCAAAAUGACCAUACAAAAUCAGUGUGAACCGUCCAAUAACUUUAUGUUUUUAAAAGUAUCGUGUACAUUGUCUUUUUGUAUAUAUCUUCAUGUGUUACACGAUGGAAAGCAUAAUGUUUUAAACACA